UACGGAGGAUGCGAGCGUUAUCCGGAUUUAUUGGGUUUAAAGGGUGCGUAGGCGGGAUGCCAAAUCAGCGGUAAAAAUGCGGUGCUCAACGCCGUCGAGCCGUUGAAACUGGCGUUCUUGAGUGGGCGAGAAGUAUGCGGAAUGCGUGGUGUAGCGGUGAAAUGCAUAGAUAUCACGCAGAACUCCGAUUGCGAAGGCAGCAUACCGGCGCCCUACUGACGCUGAGGCACGAAAGCGUGGGUAUCGAACAGG
rnacentral:rRNA from 1 species